UACGUAGGGGGCUAGCGUUGUCCGGAAUCAUUGGGCGUAAAGCGCGCGUAGGCGGCCCGGUAAGUCCGCUGUGAAAGUCGAGGGCUCAACCCUCGAAUGCCGGUGGAUACUGUCGGGCUUGAGUACGGGAGAGGCGAGUGGAAUUCCUGGUGUAGCGGUGAAAUGCGCAGAUAUCAGGAGGAACACCGAUUGCGAAGGCAGCUCGCUGGAACGUUACUGACGCUGAGACGCGAAAGCGUGGGGAGCAAACAGG
rnacentral:rRNA from 1 species